CGCCGUCUGUGGGAAACGCUACAAAAAAACUAAGUUCCCAUCCUUCGAAAGGCUAAGUCCUCUUCUUCCACAAAGCUAAGUUCUCACAUUUUAGAAACUAAAAGCUCUCACUUUCUAGUUUCCAACAGACUAAGCAGCUCUACCAACUUUAUUUUAACUCGGAUAAAGCCUCAUCAGUCCUCUUUGCGAGGUACCUUUAACAAAUAUAGAACCUCUUAGAAAGAAAGGAAGAAAGCAAAAAGAAAAUCUAUUAGAAAGUGGAUCACUCAAGUGAAAGAAGCAUAUUUGACAGAGACGUGAGGGAAAUCUGAUAUGUUGACAAAAAGCUUCCCAUCUCCUACAGCCAUUAAACCAAACCUCUAACCCCUCGCUGAACCAUUGGCCCUUCCGACUACCAUCCAUUACUGACCUAGAAGCAACUAAUGUUGACCUCUUUGCAAGCCUCGAAGAUCUGAGCUGGUGGAAGAAAUGGGAAACUCUACCCUCAUAACAACAAUAGAUUGUUGCCAUUGCCUCUCUUGUCAUCCAGAAGGACAGCCUAGCUUUGUCAGUUCAACAACAGAAUCUGAACUAUGGGCAAUUGUAAGAGGCUUAAGAAAACUCAUCUCCCUCAAAAUAUCCAAACCUUAGUGGAGCACAUCAAGCAUCUAACAAAUUUUUCCAUUACUAUCAAGACUAUAUAUGUAAAUAGAAAAGAAGUGCAAGUAGCUCAUGUAAUGGCUAGAAAGGCAAAACUCUUGAGGACUCUUGUCCAAUGUUUAGAGAAUUGGACCAGGCAUAGAACGAAAUAAGGGAGAGGUUCAUGGGUUAGAGGUUU